CCGUAGGGAGGUGUACGAAUAAGAGCUGGGCAAGACCGGUGCCAGCCGCCGCGGUAUACCGGCAGCUCGAGUGAUGGCCGAUCUUAUUGGGCCUAAAGCGUCCGUAGCUGGCUUUUCAAGUCCGUCGGGAAAUCCACCCGCUCAAACGGGUGGGCGUCCGGGCGGAAACUGUGAGGCUUGGGACCGGGAGGCUUGAAGGGUACGUCCGGGGUAGGAGUGAAAUCCUGUAAUCCUGGACGGACCGCCGAUGGGGAAACCACUUCAAGAGAACGGAUCCGACAGUGAGGGACGAAAGCUAGGGUCUCGAACCGGAUUAGAUACCCGGGUAGUCCUAGCUGUAAACGAUGCCUGUUAGGUGUGACUCCCACUACGAGUGGGUGUUGUGCCGUAGGGAAGCCGCUAAACAGGCCGCCUGGGAAGUACGUCUGCAAGGAUGAAACUUAAAGGAAUUGGCGGGGGAGCACUACAACCGGAGGAGCCUGCGGUUUAAUUGGACUCAACGCCGGACAUCUCACCAGCAUCGACUGUGGUAAUGACGGUCAGGUUGAUGACCUUACCCGAGCCGCAGAGAGGAGGUGCAUGGCCGCCGUCAGCUCGUACCGUGAGGCGUCCUGUUAAGUCAGGCAACGAGCGAGACCCGCAUCCUUACUUGCCAGCAGCACCGCGAGGUGGCUGGGGACAGUAGGGAGACCGCCGUGGCUAACACGGAGGAAGGAACGGGCAACGGUAGGUCAGUAUGCCCCGAAUAUGCUGGGCAACACGCGGGCUACAAUGGUCGAGACAAUGGGUUCCAACGCCGAGAGGCGACGGUAAUCUCAGAAACUCGGUCGUAAUUCGGAUUGUGGACUGAAACUCGUCCACAUGAAGCUGGAUUCGGUAGUAAUCGCGUCAGAAGCG
rnacentral:rRNA from 1 species